rnacentral:rRNA from 1 species
UACGGGGGGGGCAAGCGUUGUUCGGAAUUACUGGGCGUAAAGGGCGCGUAGGCGGUUUGCUAAGUUGAAUGUGAAAACUCUGGGCUUAACCCAGAGCCUGCAUUCAAUACUGGCAGGCUAGAGUUCUGGAGGGGAUAGCGGAAUUCCUGGUGUAGCGGUGAAAUUCGUAGAUAUCGGGAGGAACACCAGUGGCGAAGGCGGCGAUCUGGGAAGAUAUUGACGCUGAGGUGCGAAAGCGUGGGGAGCAAACAGG